UGAGCCGGGCAGCACGGUACGGUCACUCUUUAGAGUGCAGGCCCUACAAUAAAUAAUAAGCUUCUUAAAAGAAGGGGAGGCAAGUCGUAACAUGGUAAGU
rnacentral:rRNA from 1 species